rnacentral:rRNA from 1 species
CGGGACGGGGUGGAGUAAUGUCUGGGAAACGUGCCUGAUGGGGGGGGAUAACUACUGGAAACGGUAGCUAAUACCGCAUAACGUCGCAAGACCAAAGAGGGGGACCUUCGGGCCUCUUGCCAUCGGAUGUGCCCAGAUGGGAUUAGCUAGUAGGUGGGGUAACGGCUCACCUAGGCGACGAUCCCUAGCUGGUCUGAGAGGAUGACCAGCCACACUGGAACUGAGACACGGUCCAG